GGCUCGGUAGUGGAGGGUCCGCACCUGCCACCUGUAAAAGGAAAGCAACGACUUUUAUAUUGCAGGAGGUGCCCGUUCGACUCGGGCCCGAGCCA